AGAUGAUCCUGGCUCAGAUUGAACGCUGGCGGCAUGCCUUACACAUGCAAGUCGAACGGCAGCGCGGGAGCAAUCCUGGCGGCGAGUGGCGAACGGGUGAGUAAUAUAUCAGAACGUGCCCAGUAGUGGGGGAUAGCCCGGCGAAAGCCGGACUAAUACCGCAUACGACCUGAGGGUGAAAGCGGGGGAUCGCAAGACCUCGCGCUACUGGAGCGGCCGAUAUCAGAUUAGCUAGUUGGUGGGGUAAAGGCCUACCGAGGCAACGAUCUGUAGUUGGUCUGAGAGGACGACCAGCCACACUGGGACUGAGACACGGCCCAGACUCCUACGGGAGGCAGCAGAGGGGAAUUUUGGACAAUGGGCGCAAGCCUGAUCCAGCAAUGCCGCGUGCAGGAAGAAGGCCUUCGGGUUGUAAACUGCUUUUGUCAGGGAAGAAAUCUUCUGGGCUAAUACCCCGGGAGGAUGACGGUACCUGAAGAAUAAGCACCGGCUAACUACGUGCCAGCAGCCGCGGUAAUACGUAGGGUGCGAGCGUUAAUCGGAAUUACUGGGCGUAAAGCGUGCGCAGGCGGCUUUGCAAGACAGAGGUGAAAUCCCCGGGCUCAACCUGGGAACUGCCUUUGUGACUGCAAGGCUAGAGUACGGCAGAGGGGGAUGGAAUUCCGCGUGUAGCAGUGAAAUGCGUAGAUAUGCGG
rnacentral:rRNA from 1 species